rnacentral:rRNA from 1 species
UCCAGACUCCUACGGGAGGCAGCAGUGGGGAAUAUUGCACAAUGGGGGGAACCCUGAUGCAGCGACGCCGCGUGAGUGAAGAAGUAUUUCGGUAUGUAAAGCUCUAUCAGCAGGGAAGAUAAUGACGGUACCUGACUAAGAAGCCCCGGCUAACUACGUGCCAGCAGCCGCGGUAAUACGUAGGGGGCAAGCGUUAUCCGGAUUUACUGGGUGUAAAGGGUGCGUAGGUGGCAGGGCAAGUCAGAUGUGAAAGCCCGGGGCCCAACCCCGGUACUGCAUUUGAAACUGUCCGGCUGGAGUGCAGGAGAGGUAAGCGGAAUUCCUAGUGUAGCGGUGAAAUGCGUAGAUAUUAGGAGGAACACCAGUGGCGAAGGCGGCUUACUGGACUGUAACUGACACUGAGGCACGAAAGCGUGGGGAGCAAACAGGAUUAGAUACCCCAGUA